AUGAACGCUGGCGGCGUGCCUAAUACAUGCACGUCGAGCGAACAGACGAGGAGCUUGCUCCUCUGACGUUAGCGGCGGACGGGUGAGUAACACGUGGAUAACCUACCUAUAAGACUGGGAUAACUUCGGGAAACCGGAGCUAAUACCGGAUAAUAUAUUGAACCGCAUGGUUCAAUAGUGAAAGACGGUUUUGCUGUCACUUAUAGAUGGAUCCGCGCCGCAUUAGCUAGUUGGUAAGGUAACGGCUUACCAAGGCAACGAUGCGUAGCCGACCUGAGAGGGUGAUCGGCCAUACUGGAACUGAGACACGGUCCAGACUCCUACGGGAGGCAGCAGUAGGGAAUCUUCCGCAAUGGGCGAAAGCCUGACGGAGCAACGCCGCGUGAGUGAUGAAGGUCUUCGGAUCGUAAAACUCUGUUAUUAGGGAAGAACAAAUGUGUAAGUAACUAUGCACGUCUUGACGGUACCUAAUCAGAAAGCCACGGCUAACUACGUG
rnacentral:rRNA from 1 species